AGUACGAAUGACCAUGUUCAUAAAAACAAAACAAAAGCGAUUGCAUGGAACAAUCUUGCAAAACCGCAAUCGAGAAGCAUCAACACAAGUGGCACUGAAAUAAAACAGAAAAAUGGGGAAAAAAGAAAGAAGACGACUUAUUCAGUACAGACCCCAUAGUUUAUAAAAUAAGUCAUCAUCUUAAUUGAGACAGUAAACUGGAUGUUGUUUGUUGGCAUUUUUGUUUUUAGCGUCGCUUUCGUUAACGCUGUUUUGUCCACUGCCAUUGCCAUUUCACAAGUUUUCAGCCGCUAUUGUACUUCCUGUUCUAACGCAUUGAAGUAUGAAGAGCACUACAUGCAGUCUUGAUCAUUUAAUUCUCGUCUUGCCUUAGGUAACCACUACAAUAACAAAACAAAACUGAAGUUGGGCUAUAUUCGAGCGAAACCGAAUAGCAAAUGCUGCUACAGAUUAUAUGUAUAUAAUGGAUUGAUAUAACGGGUUUUCCAAAAGUGAUCCUUACAAUUACAUAAUGGAGUGAUAUACAUCAAAAUUGCGGCCGCAAUCGUGGACAUCGUACAGGACCUCUUUUUUACGUGUCAUUUCAACAAUUUGUUUAACUAUUAUACUCCCAAUAAAUAAACAUAAAAAAAAAUCAUUUUAUAUUCAUAAUUCAAAAUUGUAUUUAUUUAUGAAAA